UACGUAGGGUGCGAGCGUUGUCCGGAAUUAUUGGGCGGAAAGAGCUUGUAGGCGGUCUGUCGCGUCUGCUGUGAAAAUCCGGGGCUCAACCCCGGACUUGCAGUGGGUACGGGCAGACUAGAGUGUGGUAGGGGAGACUGGAAUUCCUGGUGUAGUGGUGAAAUGCGCAGAUAUCAGGAGGAACACCGAUGGCGAAGGCAGGUCUCUGGGCCACUACUGACGCUGAGAAGCGAAAGCAUGGGGAGCGAACAGG
rnacentral:rRNA from 1 species